UACGGGGGGGGCAAGCGUUGUUCGGAAUUACUGGGCGUAAAGGGCUCGUAGGCGGCCAACUAAGUCGGAUGUGAAAUCCCCAGGCUUAACCUGGGAACUGCAUCCGAUACUGGAUGGCUUGAAUCCGGGAGAGGGAUGCAGAAUUCCAGGUGUAGCGGUGAAAUGCGUAGAUAUCUGGAGGAAUACCGGUGGCGAAGGCGGCAUCCUGGACCAGAAUUGACGCUGAUGAGCGAAAGCUAGGGGAGCAAACGGG
rnacentral:rRNA from 1 species